rnacentral:rRNA from 1 species
CCAGACUCCUACGGGAGGCAGCAGUGGGGAAUAUUGGACAAUGGACCGAGAGUCUGAUCCAGCAAUUCUGUGUGCACGAUGAAGUUUUUCGGAAUGUAAAGUGCUUUCAGUUGGGAAGAAAUAAAUGACGGUACCAACAGAAGAAGUGACGGCUAAAUACGUGCCAGCAGCCGCGGUAAUACGUAUGUCACAAGCGUUAUCCGGAUUUAUUGGGCGUAAAGCGCGUCUAGGUGGUUAUAUAAGUCUGAUGUGAAAAUGCAGGGCUCAACUCUGUAUUGCGUUGGAAACUGUGUAACUAGAGUACUGGAGAGGUAAGCGGAACUACAAGUGUAGAGGUGAAAUUCGUAGAUAUUUGUAGGAAUGCCGAUGGGGAAGCCAGCUUACUGGACAGAUACUGACGCUAAAGCGCGAAAGCGUGGGUAGCAAACAGGAUUAGAUACCCUGGUAGUCCACGCUGUAAACGAUGAUUACUAGGUGUUGGGGGUCGAACCUCAGCGCCCAAGCAAACGCGAUAAGUAAUCCGCCUGGGGAGUACGUACGCAAGUAUGAAACUCAAAGGAAUUGACGGGGGCCCGCACAAG